AGUAGCUCAAUUGGUAGAGCAAUGGAAUCUGGCACUGUAGGUCACAGGUUUGAAU
rnacentral:tRNA from 13 species